AAGUCGUAACAAGGUUUCCGUAGGUGAACCUGCGGAAGGAUCAUUCUUGUACUUGGCAUAACUGCCAAACACAACCAACAACUGUGUGAACCAUACCUUUGACUGUUGUCGAAGACCGGAUUUGGUAGAAGGCGGGGCGAAACUUGUUAUUGUCUAGCACGCUAGCACGACGGCAAGUAGUAGCUUGCGCACUAUCACUGAUUUUCGGCAACAAUAUUUACUACGUACCUUAUAUGAACUGAAUUUACUAAAACACUUUAUAUAUACCAAAUACAACUUUUAGCAACGGAUCUCUAGGCUCUC
rnacentral:misc_RNA from 1 species